UACGAAGGGUGCAAACGUUGCUCGGAAUUACUGGGCGUAAAGGGCUCGUAGGCGGCCAACUAAGUCGGAUGUGAAAUCCCCAGGCUUAACCUGGGAACUGCAUCCGAUACUGGAUGGCUUGAAUCCGGGAGAGGGAUGCAGAAUUCCAGGUGUAGCGGUGAAAUGCGUAGAUAUCUGGAGGAAUACCGGUGGCGAAGGCGGCAUCCUGGACCGGCAUUGACGCUGAUGAGCGAAAGCUAGGGGAGCAAACGGG
rnacentral:rRNA from 1 species